rnacentral:rRNA from 1 species
AACGUAGGAGGCAAGCGUUAUCCGGAUUUACUGGGCGUAAAGCGCAUGCAGGCGGUUUAGCAAGUCGGACGUAAAAGCUCCUGGCUCAACUGGGAGAGGCCGUUCGAGACUGUUAGACUUGAGGGUGGUAGAGGCGAGUGGAAUUCCCGGUGUAGUGGUGAAAUGCGUAGAUAUCGGGAGGAACACCAGUGGCGAAGGCGGCUCGCUGGGCCAUACCUGACGCUCAGAUGCGAAAGCUAGGGGAGAGAACGGGAUUAGAAACCCCGGUAUUCCUAGCCGUAAACGAUGUCAACUAGGCGUAGGCGGUGAUUGACCCCGUCUGUGCUGCAGCUAACGCGAUAAGUUGACCGCCUGGGGACUACGGCCGCAAGGCUAAA